rnacentral:piRNA from 1 species
UCACCAGGAUGAACACUGAAGCUUUUGUACC